CUCCUCCCAUCAAUAUGUGGCCAUUUUUUCUUAUAUUUCAAUCUAACAAUAUAUCGCAUCAGAAAAAAUGCAGAAUCAGAUAUGAGAAUCUGUCUGUCUUCUGUUUAGCUGAACAUUAAAGUGAUUUGCAAACCUGUAAAAAUGUCACUCGUCUUACUGCUUUUUGUUCUGAUUUGGAGACAUAUAAGAGACAUAGGGAAAAACAAAAAAGAGAGACAGAGAAGGAAAAACAAAACAAGAACAAGUGUUGUUAGUUAUCCUGGAAACGUCAGCUGCUACCCAGUCCCUGUUGCCAUCUCUGGUUCAGGUCCUGAAGGCUGUCAAUUAUGAGACUUCUCAGGGGAGCGGGUGGCCCCUGCUCAGAGAUACUAAGAGAUGGAACCUCUCAGAUUUCCUGAGAAGUAGUGUGUUUUCCGUCACUGAAGAUGUGCAAGGGUCUGUGGGAUGACUUAGACCACAGACCUUAAGAAUCAGCUGGGGGUCAUCUUAAAAUGCAGAUUCUGAUUCAGUGAUCUGCCCUGGUGCCUGAUAUUCUGAAUUUCUAACAAGUUCCUAGAUGCUGCUGCUGCUUCUGAGGGCUUUUAAGUAAUUAGGAAAGAUGAAGCUGAAGCAAGCUUUCUAGGUUAUAAGAAUCACCUCAGAUCCUUGUGAAUCCAGCUUUCUAGCUUCCUCCCCAGGAGACUGUGACUUAGUUGAUUUUGGUGGAAGUCUGGAAAUUGUGUGCUUUAAAAGGAAAUUCUUAUGAUCAGUUCAAUCGGAGAACACUUAAGUAGGUGAUCUUCUAUGAUCUUUCCACAGUGUAAUUCUUCUGUAUUUCCCAUAGGGCUAGCUAUUGAUUUUAUAUCUACAUUUUUUGUUAGUUUUUGCCUUUUGCUUUUGUAUUUUUUUGGUCUCAGAAUCAAUAAGAUUUCUACUAGAGGGAAUCACCCCCUUAUAUCUUUAAUAAUCAAGUACAAGCUCUCUGUAUGUGAACCUGCUGUCAUGGUUUGGUGGUUAAGUGAUUUGGGUAAGUGUUAGAAUUUUAUUUGUAUAACAACUCUGAGUUUCAUAUUAUUUCCCUCAUUUGUGUGGGUUAAAAACUUGAUAGAAGCCAAGUGACUUGCUCAAGGUCAUGAGGAUGCAAGAAGUCGUGAAGUCAGGAUUUGGCUCUCAUCUCACUGCGUAGCCUGGUUACUCAGACCCUAGACCCCUGAUCGCCCACAGUGCCAUCUCCCUCUCUGUGCUUGCAAGUCACAGCGCCUGCACACUGCUCACAUCCUCUGCUCUCUCCUUACCAUGAUGUCUCCUUUUAAUUUGGCUUUACUUCCGCUCUUCAGGACCUUAUAUUCUUAUGUUAGUCUUUGCUCUCCCCAGUCUCCCAGCCCUGAAUAAACACCAGCCCUGAUUCUGGGGGUCAGCGUCGCUCUUUCUAAUCUCUCUCUCUCGUCUUUGUGAACAUCCACAUUCAUUGGGGUCUGGAAAAAAGGCCAAAUUGUGAUGCAGUGAGGUUCUGCUGACAGGCUCCUCAAAACGGCAGUACAAUGCAUUGUCUGAGCCCUUCUUAAAUCAGAACCAACUAUCCUGCAUAGAGCUAUGUGGUGGGCUUGGUAGGAUGGGGAAAUUAGCCCGCAUAGGUGGUUAAUAGUGACUUUGGCUUAUUAUCUUUUCUGGAUCUUGGUGAUAAUUGGUAUGAAUUCUAUGGAGCUCAUUUUUUAAAAUUAAUUUAAUACAGAUGUAUUGAGCACCUACAAUAUGUCAGGCACCAUCUGGUAGCUGGAGCUACAGCACUGUUCUAAAGCAGACAAGGAUGCUGUGCUCAUGAAGUGAUGAUCCAAUGAGAGUCAGAUUUUAAACAAAUAAUCACAAUAAUGAUCAUGUAAUUACAAGCCAGUAGCAGAACCAUGAAGCGAAGGAAUCCAGUUCCUUGAGUUAUAACUGUGAAAAUGGAAUUAAUUUAAAGGCUUAGAAAAUAAUAAUAGAUAAACAUAUAUACCUGGCACUUUACUAUGUGUCCUACACUAUAUUAAGUGGCUUUUAAUCAAAAUGUAUUAUUAAUAUUUUAUGCAAUUUAUAAAGAU
rnacentral:lncRNA from 1 species